GAUUGGUACUGGGGAUCACGUGAUCCAGUUCUGACCAAUGACCAGGCCGCCUGGGAUGAGCUAAUAAUGGAAGCAAUUUGUAACUUUCAGUGGCUCUCUCGGCCUGGGAACUGGAGGGAGGGAGGUGGGCAAAGAGUCGGGGAGAGAUUUUGUACCCCGCCCCCCAUCCCUGUUUCUCCUCCCUAUACACCAAGUCCCUGGACACCUCGCUUCCUUACUCCUAACCUGCCUUCUCUCCCCACCCCCACCCCCUUUACCCCUCUAUAUUUCCCUUAGCAACUCUCCUUCUCAGGAUGCAUCGGCUCCGGGGCAAGAAUCCACCUUCUCUCCAAAAAAGAGUACAAUCAAGUGAAAGACUUCACAGCUUGAGGAAGAGAGAGUCUGGAUCACUCUAAGAAAAAAACCUGCUCUGCUCUCCACAGAUGUCAGCACCUGGAACAAAGACCUGGCUGCCUCUCCCUAGCUACAUCUGUGCUAUUUAUUAGAAAAUCCAAGAAUACUGAAAAUGCUGAACCUUGCCGGUCAUCUAUUCCAACCUGAGCCUGACCCUGAGUUCUGGAAUAGGUGUCUGAGCUCAGAGAUGAUUGUGAAUUCAAGAGGUCCCAAAUCCAAUGAAUGAAACUGACGCGAUGGCAGGGGAAGUUCUAGAUGAAAAAAGUCAACCAAUCCAAGAGGAGGAACUCAAGCUUCUAGCGGCCUUAUCAGAAGACUUCAAAGAGAUAGCGCAGAGUCAAGGUGAAAUGGAAACUGCACAAUUUACAAUCCUGUGAUUUAUUUCACAUUCAGAUUAGGUAUAAGAACCAGCUUCCUAGGAGAAUGUAAUAGUAGAUAUAAGUUAAGCUAUUGGAUUCUGUUUUAAUUUUUUUUUUCAAAUACAUACUUUUGGUACUAUAUGUUUAGCAUUUCUUUUGUGUGUAGAAAAUAAAUACUACUUCCACAUCUUA